ensembl:snRNA U6 U6 spliceosomal RNA
GUGCUAGUUUUGGCAGCAAAAUUGGAACAAUACAGAAAUUAACAUGGCCCCUGUGCAAAAAUUACACAGAAAUGCAUAAAGUACUCUGUAUUUUA